rnacentral:rRNA from 1 species
UACGAAGGGGGCUAGCGUUGCUCGGAAUCACUGGGCGUAAAGCGCACGUAGGCGGCUUCUUAAGUCAGGGGUGAAAUCCUGGAGCUCAACUCCAGAACUGCCUUUGAUACUGAGGAGCUUGAGUCCGGGAGAGGUGAGUGGAACUGCGAGUGUAGAGGUGAAAUUCGUAGAUAUUCGCAAGAACACCAGUGGCGAAGGCGGCUCACUGGCCCGGUACUGACGCUGAGGUGCGAAAGCGUGGGGAGCAACAGGGAUUAAGAUACCCUUGAC